GCAUCAUCGUGGUGUUGUGGGGCCAUUACUUUGGGCCUCUAUUAUUGAGUCUGCGAAGUCAAUCUCUUAUGGGAUGACUACCAUUAUCGAACUCCACCCAUUCGCCCACUCUCCAUCCCCAUCUGAAUACACCAUUUUUCAAUCUCUCGUCCCUGAAAGAACCAAUGGAUUUCGCAAGUCCUCUUUCAGAUCUCAUCAAAUAUUUAUGGGGUUUGGCCAGUACACAUUUGGGCUACAUUUAUAAUCUGAAACAUAAUGUCGACAAAUUGCGGAUGGAAACUGAAGACCUGAAUGCCAAGAGCGAAGAUGUGAAAGCAAGGGUGGAACAUGAAGAAGAAGGAGGAGGUGUACGUCGCACGGAGAAGUGGUGAACUGGUUAGGCAAGGUGCAAAAUUUUUUAGGUGAGGUAGAUCAAGUUCUUCGAGAAGCCAGGGAACGUGACCAAAUCAAAUGUCUCGGUCAUUGUCUUCCACAAAACUGCUGGUCGGGCUAUCGAUUGGGGAAAACAGUUGAUCGAAUGCUCAAUGAAGCGAGGAGCUCAAGAAAGAAGAAUUUAACACUACGUUGCCAUUGCCUCCUCCUCCAGUACUUACGAUGCCUAUGGACGAGACCGUGGGGCUUGAUAUUUCCUUUAAUAAAGUGUGGAAAUGGCUCGUGGACGAAAAAGAAAUAAGAGUGAUUGGGUUAUACGGAACAGGUGGUGUGGGAAAGACCACCCUGAUGAAAAGGAUCAACAAGGACCUUUGGGCGCAAAUCAUGGAUUCGAGGUCGUUAUUUGGGUGGUGGUGUCCAGGCAAGUGAAUGAAGAUAACAUUCGAGACAUCAUAAGGAAAAGGCUGACAUUAAAGAUGAGAUUUGGGAACGAUGGUCUCAGUAUGAGGGUCCAUCAUCUGUUGAAGUUUUGACCCAGAAGAAGUUUGUGUUGUUGAUUGAUGAUGUAUGGGAGAGGUUGGACCUUUCCAAAAUCGGAGUUCCUCGUUCUUGUCUCAAGAACGGAUCCAAAGUAGUAUUCACAACUCGGUCAAGGAAGUAUGCGCCAAAUGAGAGCCGACGAAGCCUACGAAGUACAGUGCUUGACACCUGAAGAAGCCCUGGGAUUGUUCGAGAACAAUGUUGGCAAAUCGAUUGUACAUUUUCAUCCAGAAAUUCAAGAGCUCGCCAAAAACAUUGUCCUAGAGUGCAAAGGGUUGCCACUAGCCCUUAUUACUGUUGGGCAAGCCAUGGCCGGUAAAGACAACCCCAGUGAGUGGAGGCAUGCAUUAACAACGUUGAGGAGCAGACCGCACAAGCUACCAGGUAUGGUGGAGGAAGUAUACCACAUACUAAAGUUCAGUUAUGAUAACUUAAAUGAUGCUACUCGACAAGCUUGCUUCCUUUACUGUUGUUGCUUCCCUGAGGAUUACCCCAUAAUUCUAGACAAUCUAAUUGAACUCUGGAUUGGAGAGGGCUUGUUAGGAGACACUAGUGAUGUAUAUCAUAAGCGGGACGAGGGAGCAUCUAUCUUGGGGGAUUUAAAGAGGGCUUGUCUAUUGGAAAGUGGGCCUUAUAAUGUAUAUGAACAAGCAACUGUAAAGAUGCAUGACGUUAUCCGCGACAUGGCCACAUGGAUCGCUCGUGACCACGGGCAAAGGGAGAACAAGUUGCUAGUGAUAGAGAACGAAGAAGACAUGUCCACGGAGAUGAUCUCCAAAUGGAGGGAAGCGGAGAAAGUAUCUAUAUGGGGAAAUUUGAUUGCAAAUAUCAACCGAGCACCACCUAUGUGUUCCCAACUCGAAACUUUGUUUGUAAGGGAAACUAAGGUGAGUCUCGUGCCAAGAGGAUUUUUCAAGUCAAUGACGGCUUGUUUGAAGGUGCUUGACUUGUCUGACAAUGAAAAUAUUGAGUCAUUCCCCAAAGAGAUUUGCAAUCUGAUUAGCCUACAGUACUUGAACCUGUCGAGCACUUGUAUCGUUGAAGUUGCCCAAGGAAAUCAAGAACUUGACUCGGUUACGGUGGUUGCUAUUUGAUAAUAGGUAUUUACCACAUAGGAUUAUCCUAAUUCCGACAGGGGCAAUUGCAAGCUUACCGUUGAAUGUGUUCAGCUUGUGGGAAUCGAGUCUAGAGAAGGAAGAAAAGGUGGUAGAGGAACUAGGGAACAUGCAAGAUCUCACCGACUUAUCUAUCAAGGUGCAAAAAUCUUUCUCUGCCCUAAAAAUAUUCCAAUCCUUACAAAGAUGCAUAAGGAGAGUAUGGAU